UUCUUAACAGUUACGUAAGUAGUCUGGUAGAUAAGAAUUUAGGUGAAUUAGGUUAGGAUAUACAGGGUCUCAGGUCCAAUACCCGGCGGCGUCUAGAACAAUGUUCUCGUUUUUUGAGUUUUUAUUUUUCGUAUUCAAGUAUUCGAUGUUUAUAAAAACGGUUUUGCGGUUCUUGAUGUAUUAGAAAUAAACAUAUCUAAAACGUACUUGAAGUUAAGUUGUACGGAUUUUGAAAAGUGUUGUUUAAAAAAUGUUUGGUGAAAGGCAUUAUUGCGUUUACAUGUUUUAAAAGAACAUCUUAGCAUCAUUUCUGCGACAAAUAAUUGCACAGUUAUACCUCGACAGGUUUAUUGACACGAUUUGGACUGGGUUAUUCGAUAUAUUUGUUUAAUAUCGUACCUAU